GCCCUUUGUCCGCAUGACCAGGCUCGUCUGCAGAGCUCUGCCACCCGGUGGACGCUCGUGUUCAUCGCAAGAAAAUAUAAACUAAACCAACAGGAAUCCAACCUUCCUCAGAGACCUGGAAGACUUCACAGUACAAAUAAAUCUCAGAAGGAUUCACACAAACUGAAGACGGGUGGUCUCCGUGGGUUUCCUGCUCUGACACAAGCUGCCAGUCCCCGAUCAUCUGGAACAUCAUCACGGAGCAAACAGGAGGGACACAAAGUAAGGAAACAGCCCAGGGCAGACGCACACCCAGGCUACUGCAGCCCUUUGGCAUACAGGUCGUUUGCACAACCAGGUCAGCUAUGCAGGGCUGCAUGCCUGGUUUGGAUGCAGAGCAGCCUGAGGGCCUGCAACUGAAGGGCAGCCAAUAUUGAUUUUCUCCUUGUCCCUUUGCCCCAAAAGGAGGUUUCUCCAGAAUCUCCAGAUUUGCUGAUAUUAUUUACUGUGAGUGAUGUUCAGUCUUCUUUGUGGUGAGAAACAUUCAGUUCUGAUCAGAUUAGUGAGCCUCUGCUCAUCGAAACGCUGCCUCUCUAACAUUAUCUUCUUAUGCACAAUCAUGUUACUGACCUAUUAUCAGUUAACUUCAUUAGAUGUGAAUUUCCCCAGUUAUUUCUUUUUAGUACUGCUUACUUUUCAAGCUUUUUUUUUGGCCUCCAUCCCAUCAGUUUUUUGUUAAACCACGUUGCUCUAAUCAAAUUCAAAAUGAUCAAAUGUUUUCAAAUAAUGUUUUGAAAUAAUUUUGGCCUGUUACAG